rnacentral:rRNA from 1 species
AUUGAACGCUGGCGGCAGGCUUAACACCUGCAAGUCUAGCGAGCGGCGGACGGGUGAGUAAUGUCUGGGACACUGCCUGAUGGAGGGGGAUAACUACUGGAAACGGUAGCUAAUACCGCAUACCCUCAGAUGUGCCCAGAUGGGAUUAGCUAGGAGGUGGGGUAAUGGCUCACCUAGGCGACGAUCCAUAGCUGGUCUGAGAGGAUGACCAGCCACACUGGAACGGAGACACGGCCCAGACUCCUACGGGAGGCAGCAGGGGGGAAUAUUGCACAAUGGGCGCAAGCCUGAUGCAGCCAUGCCGCGUGUGUGAAGAAGGCCUUCGGGUUGUAAAGCACUUUCAGCGAGGAGGCGUUACUCGAAGAAGAAGCACCGGCUAAAUCCGUGCCAGCAGCCGCGGUAAUAC